CACAAACUUAAAAACAUUGAGAAUUACUGCUUUAGAUUAAAAUGUCACAGAAGAGGACCAGACUAGACUUAUUGGACCCAGCACUGGAGAAUUUACAGGAAGACAUUGAACUUAAUUGCUAUAUGCUCUGAAUAUAAAUUCAGCCAAUUUUGUCCUAAUUCAAGCAUCAUUUUUCAGCUCAUGAAUAAUUUAUUUAUUUAAGCCACCACCUCUCAUAAGCAAAGUGAUGCAAUAUAAGCACAAUGCUCAUCAAGUAUAAUAACCAUCACUGCAAACAAGAUGCUUCCUGCAGCUUACCUUCUGGGCAAGUGGAUAAAGAACUGCUUGAAGACAUGAUGGCUAUUUCUGAUUUUCUGACUUGUGUGAGUUAUUUAAGUUAAGAAGAAAGUUCAGAAG
rnacentral:lncRNA from 1 species